CUGAAAUAAACAGGAUAAUAUUGAGAUAGAGGACAGGUACAAGCAAUAGACAGAGAGCUGAGAAGAGGGGAUACCAGAAUUAUAUUAAUUUCAUUUUAUAUGUGCUUUAAUAAAAUUAGUUGCUGCUAAAAUGUAAAAAGUACUUUGGAGCUACAGUAUCUUUAGCCAAGUUUAGGGUUUUUUUUGUUUUGUGCUUUAGUGGAGGAGAUUGUUUUGCUUUGUCUUGCUGGAUUUUGUAAGAAGGGUAAUCUAUUUUUUUCCAUUCCUUUAUCAGAAAUGGUCCUCAUAAAGUAAAUUAGAAAAAAAAAACAGUAAAAAGAAGCAAAAAAUUAAAAAAAGAAAGAAGACAAAAACAAACCUUUCUUCAAAGUGUACCUGCUUAAUCCCCACUGAGAACAGCUCUUCAGAGGCUGUCAACAGCUCUGUUUGGUCACGGUGACUGUCACUGACUUUUGCUCAAUGGAUGCCAGAAUGUUGCACUUAUCUUUUACUCAAGGUACUGAGUAAAAAUCAACACUGGACAAAGACCUCUGCCUAACGAGUAGAGCACCCCUGAGGCAGGCGGGAAGAGGAUCUAGGAAUGCAUCACCCUGCUACUGGCUGGUUUGAAGUAUGUGGAAAGAGAAAUAACAGCUGUCAUACAACUGAACUUGCACGUGACAGUACAAACCUGUGGUCUAUACACUCCUUUGGCCCCAGGGACAGACAAGAAAGAUCAACAGUUCUCAUAUCAUGGAAACCCAGCCAGCAAGAAUCACACAUAUCAUCCUUACAGAAACACAGGGAAAGAGGCACAGAGAUGCUGUGGUGGCCUGGACCUUCACUUGCCACUAGGGUGAACAGACAGGCAUCAUGCAUCACAUUUUCAGGAAGCAGCUUGCCGUAACAUUUUGCAACAUGCUUGGAUGUCCUGGAUAUGAGAAGACCAACCAGAAGGUCAGAAACUGAAAAUUGGUUUGCAGAAUAGUUUGAGUGAACGUCUUAAGGUUACAAAGGUAAAUGCUAUCAGUAUUUUUUUUUGUAUAUUUCAACCUUUAGAAGUGAAAAUAUAAUGGAAAU
rnacentral:lncRNA from 1 species